CCCAGUAGACGACUGGGUUGAUAGGCCAGAUGUGGAAGCCCGGUAACGGGUGGAGCUGACUGGUACUAAUAGGCCGAGGGCUUGUCCUC
rnacentral:rRNA from 1 species